rnacentral:tRNA from 1 species
GGUCGACUGGUGUAGUGGUUAUCACGUCUGUCUUACAAUUGCAUUGUAUGGUGUAUUGUGAGGACACAGAAGGCCGCAGGUUCGAUCCCUGCGUCGAUCA